rnacentral:rRNA from 1 species
UACGUAGGGGGCAAGCGUUGUCCGGAUUUAUUGGGCGUAAAGAGCGUGUAGGCGGUCAGGUAGGUCCGUUGUAAAACUCGAGGCUCAACCUCGAGACGCCGAUGGAAACCAUCUGACUAGAGUCCGGAAGAGGAGAGUGGAAUUCCUGGUGUAGCGGUGAAAUGCGCAGAUAUCAGGAAGAACACCCGUGGCUAAGGCGGCUCUCUAGUACGGUACUGACGCUGAGACGCGAAAGCGUGGGGAGCGAACAGG